ensembl:lncRNA
UUUUGUCUUUUUAGGGUAGCACCCACAGCAUAUGGAGGUUCCCAGGCUAGGGGUCCAGUCAGAGCUGUAGCCACUGGUCUACACCACAGCCACAGCAAGAAGGGAUCCAAGUCAUGUCUACAACCCACACCACAGCUCACGGCAAUGCCGGAUCCUUAACCCACUGAGCAAGGCCAGGGAUCAAACCUGUAUCCUCAUGGAUGCAGGUCGAGUUUGCUAACCAGUGAGCCAUGACAGGAACUCCCAGCCAUAGUUAUUUUCUAUUUAAGGAUUAGAGAUUUAACUUUGAAUCCCCUACCUCCUCCCUAUUAAACCGACCAGAGAUGUUGACAUGUCUUACUUGUGUGAUUCAAUUACACAUUAAUCACAUUUUAUAUGGAUAUUUACUAUUUAUAGUCUAUGUGCCUAAUAUAUGGGCCAAUUUCAAACAGAUACAAACAUAUCAGCUUCAAGAGCACUUGCAGGCUUUGAGGUCAGACUGACAAAAGUUUGAGUCUCAGUUCUGUCAUUUACAGCUGUAGGAUCAUGGGCACAUUGUUUAGUCUUUCCCAGACUCAGUUUUCAUGUCUAUAAAACAGGGACAAUAACCUCAUUGAGGACAGGCAGUAAAGAACCAUAAUAUAAUGUGAAAUGUUUCAUAAUAAAACAUAUAUAAAUAUUAGUUUCACCUUCCCCUACCUUUCUCAUAGAAAACUAGUCUCCCAUACUUAAAUAUUGUAUCCUCUAACUAAUUUUAUACUCCUUCUGACUAUGAAACAAUAAGAUAACUAAUAUAUCUUGGGUAAAGCAUUAUGGACUCUUGCAUGGAGUGCAACGUACUCUAUGAAGCCUUAGGAAGUGAGACCAUCAUUAUGUUAACAGGAAAGUUCCAUGGUACCAGGCAUGUGAAGGCCUUCCCUCAUCCAGUCAGCUUAUCCCAGAAAAGCAGCCAAAUAAGGACUAGAAACGUCAUGCAACCCAUAUAAAUACUUCCCGUGUUGCAAAACCCACAUUAGUGAAGAGGUUGGGAUCAGCUAAAGAAAUGUGUUGACUCUCUGAUAUCUGCCUUAUUGACCUUGAACUGGCCUUGUGAAAGGUCUGCCGUUGUUAAGAGACAGUAUUUGCAUCUCAGCACUGAGUGAAAGCAUCUUCCUCUUAUGAGAGCCUUCUCAGAGCCCUAUCGCAGAGGACAGAGAUGGCCCUUCCUGGGGGCUCUGCCACUUCCUCAGUCUGGGCUGCAAGUGUGUUUCCUGCCAGCCCUUUUCUGACCAAUAACUCACAACUUCUUGGUACCCACUCAGCUCCCAAGCAUAGUAAGGCAGCCCCCUUCCUUAUAAAUGUGGUGUCUCACAAGUCUCAUUGUGAAUCUGCUGGUUGGACCAGGUCCCCACUUGCCUGGAGCUAAAUGGCUCUUGAUGGUUAAGAUUCCUGGUGUACAGACUGGUCUCACUAGCUGGGUUUUCCCUGGCCCAUUUGGGGGGAGGGUUUUUUUAAAUGUGGGUUGUUAUCUUUUACAGGAGAACCCUCUUUUCAUGCUAUUUAUUUUACUCUCUCCCAUUCCAUCCCCACCACUACAACCAAUAACUCAGUUCUUAGAGUCGAGAGUGUAGGCUGCUCUGAAUGCAAACAUCUUAAGAGCCAACCAGCCUUUGGGUCCCCCUGGAAUUUUCCAUUAUCAUUUUGGGAAAACCAUGUCAAAAAUUGAAUCACAACAACAACAGCAACAACAACAAAAAUAGGAGUUCCUGUUGUGGCGCAGUGGUUAACGAAUCCGACUAAGAACCAUGAGGUUGCGGGUUCGAUCCCUGGCCUUGCUCAGUGGGUUAAGUGGCCAUGAGCUGUGGCGUAGGUUGCAGAUGUGGCUCGGAUCCCGAGUUGCUGUGGCUCUGGCUUAGGCUGGUGGCU